CUUCCCACCAGCAGCAACGAUUGCAUGUUCGACGCGGAAGACUGACACGGCCACGUCACCCCCAUUCAUAUCCCUCCACGUCAGCCAAUCCACAUCGUCCGUGAUAAAUUGGUCGGGACUAUCUCUACGGCCAAGAUCGCCUGCCUCUUACGAAUCCAACGGCCUAUAUCUCAUUUCUAGAGUCUUCGAAUCGAAUAGAAGGAAAUCGUCUAACCACGGUUAGUUUUUUAACCCGCCCUUGAGUCUCUGCCAGAGUUGAGAAGGAAUUCGGGAGAGAAGGAGAGAAGGAGAGAGGGUUUUUGGGGGUUUCAGAAUCGCUGGAAUUUAGACCGUUGAUUCUUCUUCGUCUUGGAUCGGAGUCGUCGAUUCGGAUAUCCGUACAACUAAAAGCCGGAUCGAACGACUGCCGGUUCUUCGCUUGAGCUUCGUGUUUGUUCUCUUCUACGAUCCCCUACAUCGAUUGGCCUUUUCUUUUUUCGGUUCUUCUCCUCAUAGAUCAUUGUGAUCAGAUGGGUUCUCUGAUGUAGUGUGAUCGCUACAUCUCUGCUGCCCUUUUCCUGUCACGCUUUUGCUGACGUAAGAAACAACGGUGGGAGUUUGAUUCUGCAACGUAGUCGCUUCAUGACCUUUUGGACAACAGAUUUCCCUCUCUUUGUAGCAGUGUCGGCGCUUGAGUCUGUCGCCCGCUCGAGAGAGAGAAGGGGGAACCCCGUUGCCGCCUCUGCAGGCCCUGUCAAUCCUCAAAUCUCCCCUGCGUUCCAUGUCUCCUAACUUGGACAGCCCUGUGCAGACCCAGAUGGCAGUUGCAGUCUUUAAAGGCACCCUGAGCAGUGGUGAAUGUCGUGGAAACAAGAGGGUGGAAGGAAAGCCUGCUGGGAGGCGCCGUGUGUUUGUGCAAACUGAUACUGGCAGCGUCUUGGGGAUUGAAUUGGAUCGGAGUGACAAUGUCCACACAGUCAAGAGGAGAUUGCAAUUGGCUCUGAAUGUUCCAACCGACGAGAGCUCGCUGACUUUUGGGGAUCUUGUGCUGAAGAAUGAUCUCAGCGCCGUCCGGAAUGAUUCCCCAUUGCUCCUCACGAGAAACUUCCUGCAUAGAAGCUCGUCGACUCCGUGUCUUUCACCUACCGGAAAGGAUCUCCAACACAGGGAUCGAAGUGGACCGAUUGAGAUACUGGGUGGCUCGAGUCGCUGUUCUAGAACCAAACAGCUUGUGAAGGAUGUCGUGAAGGCGAUCAAGAGUGGGGUCGAUCCAAUCCCUGUCCACAGUGGGCUUGGUGGCGCUUACUAUUUUAGAAACAGUAGAGGUGAGAGCAUUGCCAUUGUGAAGCCCACGGAUGAGGAGCCCUUUGCUCCAAACAAUCCAAAGGGUUUUGUAGGGAAAGCUCUCGGCCAGCCGGGCUUGAAACGGUCAGUUAGGGUCGGUGAGACAGGGUUCCGAGAAGUUGCUGCCUACCUUCUCGAUGAUGAUCACUUUGCUAAUGUGCCGCCCACAAUCCUUGUCAAGAUCACCCACUCGGUGUUCAACGUCAACAGUGGGGUGAACAGUAGCAAGGUUCAUGACAGGAAGCAGGUUAGCAAGAUUGCAUCAUUCCAGCAGUUCAUUCCCCACGACUACGACGCUGGCGACCACGGCACCUCAAGCUUCCCCGUUGCUGCUGUGCACAGGAUAGGGAUACUGGACAUUAGGAUCUUCAACACGGACAGACAUGCUGGCAACCUUCUGGUUAGGAAGCUUGACAAGGUUGGAACGUUUGGUGACGUGGAACUUAUUCCAAUCGAUCAUGGCCUUUGCCUGCCAGAGACCUUGGAGGAUCCGUACUUCGAGUGGAUCCAUUGGCCUCAGGCAUCGGUUCCAUUCAACGAUGAAGAGCUCAAGUACAUUGCAAAUCUUGAUCCAGACAGGGACUCUGACAUGCUGCGCAUGGAGCUGCCGAUGAUCAGAGAGGCGUGUCUCCGGGUCUUAGUCCUCUGCACGGUCUUCCUCAAGAAGGCAGCUGCAUAUGGUCUUUGCUUAGCUGAGAUUGGUGAGAUGAUGAGUCGGGAGUUUCGGGGGCUUGAAGAGGAGCCGAGUGAGCUCGAAGUUGUGUGCAUUGAGGCGAGGAGGUUGAUUGCGGAGAGAGAAAUGAUGUUCUUCCCCAAAGAUGAAGCAGGGGAGGAAGAGGAAUUCCAGUUCGACCUCGACUGUGAUGCAGAAUUCUCCCCCAAACUGACAGAUGAUUUCACAGCCAAAGCAUCAUCGCCGUUCAGUUUUGGGUUCAAGGGGGCACAUUGCAGGAACCCGCUUUCCAAAUUAGAGGAGAGUGUGGAGGAAGAACAGGAAGAAGAGAUUGAGGGUGAAGAGGAGGCCAAGCUUGCCCCAGGGACUGGUGGAGUUUUGGGCCCACUGCCUACUCGUGAGCGGGUCCCGUCAGUUUCCAAGCUGUCUGCAUCACUGAAGAGCAUUGGCCUGGGCGAGAAGAACCAGCGGUACCAGGGCUUCUCAAGUGGCGAGGGCCUUGCGUUUCUGGCAUGUGGGGCAGCUGUGGGAAGCAGCAGCAGCAGCAAUCGUAGGAGUGCAAACGAGCAGCUGCCAGCGAGUGCAAGUUUUGUGAAGCUGGCGGACAUGAGCGAUGAGGAGUGGACGCUGUUCCUCGAGAAGUUCCAGGAGCUGUUGCACGACGCGUUCGCCAGCCGGAAGUGCGGCAGUGUGGGGCCUAGGCAGAGGCAGAGGCUGGGGACUUCUUGCCAGUUUUGAUGAGAAGGUUACUUGUUUAUGCUCUGUUUGGUGUACAAAGAGGAGACGAAAGCCCAGGAAGAAGAAGAAUAAGACAUUUGGGAAGAAGAGGAUUUGUAGCCUUUGUUUUGGAGAUAGAAUAGUUGGGAGACGUUUGUAAAUAUUCUUUAGAGGAUAAGCCGGCUGCUGCUGCUACUCGAAGAAGGAGAGGAUUGGCCCAGCUUCUGGUGGUGGGCCGACUGAUUCUUGGGCCAAAAUCGAUGGAUCCAUCUAUAUCUACCACAGGCAAGCCGCAUCCUUCUGGAAAGGUCACUAUGAAUUGAGAUUGGAUAUGAUUCAUGACAAUUGCUGUCAUUGUCUUCCGUUAUAAUUAUAUGAUGAACACCGCCCAGUGGUUUCAGGGCCCAUUCAUGGAUACUGGUAUUUGGGGCCCACCGAGAUAGGUUAUGUGGAGCUACAUAAUAGCCAAGAUGGCUGAAACUGUUAGGGCUAGCCUUUCUGGUCAGAAACAUGUGUCGGUGGGCUUGUGUUAGCUUUAAAGGACGGGAAUCAUCAACCUGAUGGGCCAGCAUGGAAAGGCUGUGGUAUGAAAUUGCAUUAAUGGAGUCUACAUGAGUGGUUAGAUCGGUGAUUUGGCAAGGAUGAAAACUAAAAGAGAAGCUGUUUUGUGCUGCUGAUCAUUGCAAAGAAGAGGCAUCUUACAAUGGUUUUCAGCUUGUACAACGAUCUAACUUCCAAGCCUUUGAUACGAUGGGCCCCCAUUGUAAGCAGGUAAUUGAAAUUUCCCAGAUUCUAGCCAUUGAACCAUUGGUUUUUCUUUAUGUUUUUAUUUUGUUUUUGUUUUUGGCCUCUGCAUAUGUUCCGCAACUAUAUUUGCCUUCUCUCUUGAAUGUACGUUUGGCCUAUCAUAUCAACAAAAUGUUAGGCUUAGUGCAUUCCGAUCCUGGCCCCUUAGGUUGCUAAUGGCUACAAAGUAAUGGAGUCUUGUUGGAAAA